GACGAACGCUGGCGGCGUGCUUAACACAUGCCAGUCGAACGGAAAGGCCCUGCUUUUGUGGGGUGCUCGAGUGGCGAACGGGUGUGUAUCACGUGAGUAACCUGCCCUUUACUUUGGGAUAACUUCAGGAAACUGGGGCUAAUACCGGAUAUGAGCUCCUUCUGCAUGGUGUGGGUUGGAAAGUUUCGGCGGUUGGGGAUGGACUCGCGGCUUAUCAGCUUGUUGGUGGGGUAGUGGCUUACCAAGGCUUUGACGGGUAGCUGGCCUGAGAGGGUGACCGGCCACAAUGGGACUGAGAAACGGGCAAGACUGCUACGGGAGGCAGCAGUGGGAAAUAGUGCAAAAUGGGCGGAAGCCUGAUGCAGCAACGCCGCGUGCGGGAUGACGGCCUGCGGGUUGUAAACCGCUUUCGCCUGUGAAGAAGAGUGAGUGACGGUAAUGGGUAAAGAAGCACCGGCUAACUACGUG
rnacentral:rRNA from 1 species